AUUGAACGCUGGCGGCAGGCCUAACACAUGCAAGUCGAACGGUAACAGAAAGCAGCUUGCUGCUUUGCUGACGAGUGGCGGACGGGUGAGUAAUGUCUGGGAAACUGCCUGAUGGAGGGGGAUAACUACUGGAAACGGUAGCUAAUACCGCAUAACGUCGCAAGACCAAAGAGGGGGACCUUCGGGCCUCUUGCCAUCGGAUGUGCCCAGAUGGGAUUAGCUAGUAGGUGGGGUAACGGCUCACCUAGGCGACGAGCCCUAGCUGGUCUGGGGGGAUGACCAGCCACACUGGAACUGAGAAACGGUCCAGACUCCUACGGGAGGCAGCAGUGGGGAAUAUUGCACAAUGGGCGCAAGCCUGAUGCAGCCAUGCCGCGUGUAUGAAGAAGGCCUUCGGGUUGUAAAGUACUUUCAGCGAGGAGGAAGGUGUUGUGGUUAAUAGCCACAGCAAUUGACGUUACUCGCAGAAGAAGCACCGGCUAACUCCGUGCCAGCAGCCGCGGUAACAC
rnacentral:rRNA from 1 species